AGAAAUACUAAAGGAUAAAUUCCUCAAAGAUCGAGGAAGAAUUAGAGUAACGUAAUGGAAGCAUAAAUGUAUUAGAUUAUGAAUCUAAUCCAUCAUUGGAUGUUUCUUCAUUAUGAAUGAAGAGAUAAUCAGAUAUCUCUUUAUUAUGACUAAAAGAGAUAUUUGGAUGGAAACAUUAAAAGUAAUGACUUUAGUGUGUUCCAUUAUGAAUGC
rnacentral:lncRNA from 1 species